ensembl:lncRNA
GGGGGAGGCAUUGAAACUCAUCUAGCUCCUUGCUUUCUGGAUGUGAAACUGGAUUUUCGAUAGUGAAGGGACUGGAGAAGCAGAAUGAGAUAAAGAACUUCUGCUGCAGCCACUACAGGCCGAGGAUGGUGAGCUGGUAACACCACAGGCCGCUGGCAUCAAAAUCCAUGAGCACCUGGGGCUGGUGACAAUGAAGGCAGCAGAGAACAAUGGAGAGCAAUGAAGACCACAAGAAGCCACUAUCUCUGGAAGCCAGAAGAGUUCCUGUGACCUGUUGGUGCUGAGGAUGGAACCGAGGGCCUCUUGCAUGUUAAACAAGCGCUCUAUCACUGUGCUGUGUCUCCAGCCCAAAAGUGUUUUUCAAGAUCUCUUUUUCUGCUCUCAUUUCACUGGAAAGGUCUCCACAGGAUGUUCAUAUUUUCCGUCCGUUGGCUGCCCGACUUGUACUCAACCUUUUUUUUC